GGGGGGGGGGGGGGGGGGGGCGGGGGCGGGCGGGGCGGGCGGGGGGGCGGGGGGCUUGCGCCGCUGGCGGUGGCGGCGGACGGGUGAGUCACCCGUGGCUGCCCUACCUAUACGACUGGGAUAACUGCGGGCACCCGGCGCUCAUACCGGAUAAUCUAUUGAACCGCAUGGUGCAAUAGUGCAAGCCGGUUUUGCUGUCACUUAUAGAUGGAUCCGCGCCGCAUUAGCUAGUUGGUAAGGUAACGGCUUACCAAGGCGACGAUGCGUAGCCGACCUGAGAGGGUGAUCGGCCACACUGGAACUGAGACACGGUCCAGACUCCUACGGGAGGCAGCAGUAGGGAAUCUUCCGCAAUGGGCGAAAGCCUGACGGAGCAAUGCCGCGUGAGUGAUGAAGGUCUUCGGAUCGUAAAACUCUGUUAUUAGGGAAGAACAAAUGUGUAAGUAACUAUGCACGUCUUGACGGUACCUAAUCAGAAAGCCACGGCUAACUACGUG
rnacentral:rRNA from 1 species